CGUUAUGGGGAUACCUUAGUUAUGGUUUAAGUUUCAAUGCAUACUUUCAGCGUAACUUUUGUUGUUGUAGAAAAUGCAACAAGGAAUGCAAACGAGGAAUCAAGUUUUUUUGGUAACAUUACCUGUUAUGAGCUAUUUAUUUCACUGGUUUUGAAUUGUGCAAAUGAAGCAGCCUUUGAAGUGUGCUUCGGAAUGUAUACCCAAGUUCAUAUUUUCACAAGCUAUUCAAGGCAUCAAACAUGUUCGACCGAGUUUCCACAGCCACCGAAACAGACAAUGAUAUGUUUUAGUGUUUGGAAAAGAAUUGUGCCGUGAAAAAGCAAAUACCCCUUUGGUUCGAGUCGCUUGGUUUUGGACCACAGCCAGUAACAGAAAGUAGUUAUAGUAAAUUUGAUGCUAUUGUUUCACAUUAUUUUCACCCUCUUUAUAUCCUUAAGUAAGCAGCACUGUCAA